rnacentral:rRNA from 1 species
CGUAUAUUAAAGUUGUUGCAGUUAAAAAGCUCGUAGUUGGAUUUGUGGUUUGUGGUGUGUUCCGGGCACUUGUUGUCUGAGUAACUCGCCGCUGCCAUCCUUGGGUGGAACCUGUGUGGCAUUAGGUUGUCGUGCAGGGGAUGCCCAUCUUUUACUGUGAAAAAAUUAGAGUGUUCAAAGCAGGCUUAUGCCGUUGAAUAUAUUAGCAUGGAAUAAUGAGAUAGGACUUUUUGGCUAUUUUGUUGGUUUGCGCCAAGAGGUAAUGAUUAAUAGGGAUAGUUGGGGG